ensembl:lincRNA linc-60 ncRNA
AAGUUCUCUGAAAAAGUGAGAAUUCUGAUAAGAGGCGAGAAAGAAAAGAAGAUUUCCAAAAAAUCGGAUAAUCCCGUGAGCCGUGGCGCAACAGCAGCUCAAUAAGCUCUUUCAAGCUCCCCUUAGAAUUGUUUGUAUAUCGUAUCGACCAAAGUCUCGAUCUCUCACCGUUUCCCCUGUUUUUCCGCCGAAAAUAUUUGAAGUGACAGUGUGCUUGUUUGCACUCGUUAUAAUUUGAAUUUUGCCAUUUUAAUUCAUUUUUCACGGAAAAAAGUUUGAAAAGUUCAUUUAGAGCUUGUAAACUUCAUUUUCAGACAAUUUUCAACAUUUUCCUGGAUUCUCUUCGCCUUCCGACACAGGUUCCCACAUUUUAUUGCUCAUUUUUGAUAUUUUUCUUCAAUAAACUUGAAUUUUUAUCG